rnacentral:lncRNA from 1 species
UCUAUCUCUCAUGGGACUCCACAUUAAUGAAGAUCUAGGUCUAGUUUGAUACCAAAUCUCAUGGGUCGAAACUUAGGUCUAACCUCAUGCAGUCUUAAACACUAAAAAUAGAGUUUAAGUAAGUCUAUAAAUCACGGGCUUACGUUCUCAACUCAAAAAACAUGUUUAAUAAAUGAUGAAAUACCCAUGUUUAUAUUCUCAAGACUUACCACAUGUCACGACCCGGAACUCCCAUCGAGUUCGUAACAACCGUCUCGACAUCCCGAUAAACAUUCAUUACCCGAAAUGUCAAUCGAAACCUCGCAAGGCUUAACAUCAGUUUUUCUCGCUUCCCUAGUGAGUAUUAGUUGCUAAAAUCAUGUUUUGAGAGAUUAUAAAAUAUUUUCAAUUCAAAACAAUAGAAAAAUAAAUUUUCCUCACAGGGGCAUUUUGGUCAUUUUUCUUCAAAAAUCUCGAAAUCCGCUAAAAAUGUAGUAAGCGAGUACAAAACAUAGAAUUCAUAAUUAAAAUGAGUUUUAAAGUCUAAAAUUUUCAUUUAAAACGAAAUUGCGAUUAUUUGGAUAUAACAAAAAAAUAAAAGAAAUAUUAAGUAAAAUAUUCUAUUUUUUUAUAAAAUAAUAUUUAUAGAGUUAUACGUAAAUAAUUUUGUAGUGUAAAAGCUAAAUAAAUUCAUACAUACUGUAAUACAGUAAGUCAGAGUAUGUAAUUUAAUUUACAAUAACAAGAGAGCCCCCGAAUAAACAAAAGUAAAGAGGACUGUGAAUUUACAGUUUGGAAAAUACAGAUCUAACGGUAGUCCUCGAUGAGAUCAGCUAUCUACAGUUUAUACUGAACUCGAAAUGGAUGGAAAUGAGGGUGGUGAGAUUAUAAAAUCUCAAUGAGUAAACAGACAUCAUCAUAAACAUCUAGAGUUGAGUACAUGAAGACAAUAAAGUAAAUCAUCGUAAAUUGGGUAAUAGUAUUAGAAUACAUUUCAUUUAAAAUACAUGAAGAGACUUAUGAAUCUCAUAACAACUAGACUUGUGCCAUAAAUCCAUUCUCAAGGACACCUUAGCCGAGGCAUCCUAUCGAGACCGCCAAGGCUAUUAAAAUUCACACUUCACAUAAAUCAUGUUUUUGUUUUGAAAACAUAGCCGUUCCUUAGCUUUAGUUGAGUUCCCCCUCACGUGGUGGUUUGGUAAGAAGUGAACCCUAAGCUUUAUCCCAAGAGAUACCCUACGCGCAUCUCCGUUCGAGGUAAGAAUAUAAUGAGGUUUACCGUGCCCCUCUAAAAGGCUGGUCCACAAAAACCCCUACUGUAGUGAUUAAUUAAUAUAUAAUCCACCAUAUAAUAAAAUUUUAACGGCAUGACAGGGCUAAUGAAACACUACUCAGCUUGCAAGGGUAAAAUAAAACAAUUCAUACAAUUCAUAAAAUACAGCCCAACCAGUCAUGCCAACACAAUAACAAUAUAACAUAAGCCAUCAAUUUAAACAAUCAAAUUGCCACAAUUAACAGUCUCUGUGUACUCUAUUUUUUUCAAAAUCGUUAUUAGUUUCAAAACAAUUUAUAAUUUAAUUUCAUUAGAUCACCUUUAUUCAUAGAACAUGAAAAUUUACCUUUUAAAUCCAUUUUUUCAUAGAAUUCAUGAAAUCAUCUAAAAAUCACUUUAGAUAAUUAAAAUGACAGUAAGUUUACUCACAAUAUCUAGAAUGCAGACUUUUGAAGUACUCUGUCUAGUGGUCCUUGGAUGCAAUUUCCUUGCUUUUAUCGGAGGACUCACCACCUUGACAUAGUACAAAAUUGAAAAAUUCACCACAUUGAUACUAAAUUGAAAUUAAACUAAUUUAGGCUACUAAUGCAUGAUAUAGAAUGCAAAAAUGUCCGAAUAGUUGUUUAAAUACGGUAUUUGACCUAAUCCGCACUAUUCUCGAUCUAAUCGGCUAAAAUCUUUAAUUUAACUUCAAAUCGAUUCUUUUCACUUUCUACACUCUAAUUAUACCUAAAUUACCUCAGUGACUGUGAAUGAGGUUCAAUUUAUCGAUCCCGGAUCAAUAACAUGUCUAUAUGUUGAGCAAAAAUUCGUAUUUUCGCACCAAAAUUUCUCAUUUAAUUUUUAGCCUCACCAAACAUCAAAUAUCAUCAAAAUAUCAUGAAAUAUCAUCAAAUUCAGCUACAAUAUUCUCCCUAGGAAAUUUCGCCAAUGAUGGUAAUGGGGGAAAAUGAAUUCUUUUCUUGUUGUUUUGUUUCUAAAUAUGCUAAACUAACUUAAAACACUAACAUAACUUAAAAUCAAAUCAAUCUAACUUCAUUCUCUCUCCAUACCCAUUUGGGCAGCCAUGAAUUCACCAUGAAAACAUGAAAUCUAACCAUGGAAAAUAAGGAGAAAAGCAUGAGAAAGGUAGAUCACAAGUCAAAAUCAAGAAAUUUUGCCUUUGAUUGCUUGAUUCCUUGAAAUCCCAUACUUUUUCUUUAAUUUUCCCACAUAGGUUUCUUGUUUUUCUUUUCCUCUCUUUGUUCUUGCUAUGGCCGGC